GAACAACUAUGGCAGCCAUCAAAGUCCACGGAAGCCCUCUGUCCACUGCUACACAAAGGGUUCUUGCAUGCCUUUACGAGAAAGGUACUGAUUUUCAGUUUGUUCCCAUAAACAUGGCUGCUGGUGAACAUAAAUCCGAAAACUACCUUUCCCUCAAUGUAAGUUUUUCGAUAAUCACAGAUCUGUUUUUUUUUUAAAUCUUUUUUAUCUAGUAAUCCGUGUUUUCCAUGGAUCUAAUAUUUCUCGUCCGGUUGAUACAGCCAUUCGGUCAAGUUCCAGCUUUUGAAGACGGGGACUUGAAGCUCUUCGGUGCAUUUUUAUGACCCAAACCCUUAGUUUUCUUAGCAGUUCUACUGUUUUCUUUUAUAUUUUACUUACUCAUAACCUUAAACUCUUGAACCAGAGAAAAAUAGGCGUUUAAGUGUGAUGAUUAUUAAAAUAGCAACGGUGUUGCGGAUUUACUGCUCUAUAUGGCUUGGUUUGAGUAUAAAUUUUUCAACAAGGUAGUUAGUAAUAAAUUAAUUUUAGGAUGGAUUUGAUGGGCGUUAGUUUAUCUGUUAGUAAAAAAACAGUGAUGGCGGUGAGAUUAGAUAUUGUAGUGAUACUGUAUUAUCUCACCGCACAUCCGAACUCAUCUUUAUUUGUUUAACUUUUUUAGCUACUCACUUGAGAAAUAUGUAUUUUGUUGGGGGCCAGAAUGAACUUAAAAAAUUUGAAGGACUAAAGCUAAAAUUUUAAUCCAUUAGUAUGAGAUUAGGGGCGAAGCCAGUCUGGGGCUAGGAUGAAAUUAAAUUUUUUUGUAUUAAAAUAGUUUAAAUUAAAUUAUUAAAUUUUGAGAGGGUCGAAGUUUUCCUUUCAUAAAAUGGCAAAAAGAGAUUAAAUUGUUUUUUUAUUUUAUUUAUCAUGCCUAUGCUAAACGGAUAUUGGGUUGCUUAUCAUUCCUUUUCAUGAUUAGCUAACCUUAACUUUUGUACAAUGCAGAGUCAAGAGCAGUCACCCAUUACAUUGCUCAUGAAUACAGCGACAAGGGGACCCAACUCUUAAUUCCUGGCUCUAACAAGGAUAUGGCUGUCUUACAAUUAUGGAAGGAAGUGGAAGCCCACCAGUUCGAUUCUCCAUGUUCAAAAAUAGCCUGGGAGGCGUUUUACAAGCCAUUAAUGGGCAUGGUUACCGACUCCGCGGUCGUGGAAGAAAAUGAAGGUAAGCUUGCCAAAGUUCUUGACGUGUACGAGGCUCGAUUGACACGGUCAAAAUACUUGGCAAGUGACUGCUUCACCUUGGCGGACCUGCAUCACCUUCCCACCAUUCAAUACUUGUUGGCUACACCUUCCAAGAAGCUGAUUGAUUCUCG
rnacentral:lncRNA from 1 species